rnacentral:rRNA from 1 species
UACAGAGGGUGCGAGCGUUGUCCGGAAUCACUGGGCGUAAAGGGCGCGUAGGUGGUCGGGUAAGCGUGUGGUGAAAGCCCGGGGCUCAACCCCGGGUCGGCCAUGCGAACUGCCCGACUGGAGCACGGUAGAGGCCAAUGGAAUUCCGGGUGUAGCGGUGGAAUGCGUAGAGAUCCGGAAGAACACCGGUGGCGAAGGCGGUUGGCUGGGCCGUGGCUGACACUGAGGCGCGACAGCGUGGGGAGCAAACAGG